rnacentral:rRNA from 1 species
AUUGAACGCUGGCGGCAGGCCUAACUCAUGCAAGUCGAGCGGAUGAAGGGAGCUUGCUCCUGGAUUCAGCGGCGGACGGGUGAGUAAUGCCUAGGAAUCUGCCUGGUAGUGGGGGAUAACGUCCGGAAACGGGCGCUAAUACCGCAUACGUCCUGAGGGAGAAGGUGGGGGAUCUUCGGACCUCACGCUAUCAGAUGAGCCUAGGUCGGAUUAGCUAGUUGGUGGGGUAAAGGCCUACCAAGGCGACGAUCCGUAACUGGUCUGAGAGGAUGAUCAGUCACACUGGAACCGAGACACGGUCCAGACUCCUACGGGAGGCAGCAGUGGGGAAUAUUGGACAAUGGGCGAAAGCCUGAUCCAGCCAUGCCGCGUGUGUGAAGAAGGUCUUCGGAUUGUAAAGCACUUUAAGUUGGGAGGAAGGGCAGUAAGUUAAUACCUUGCUGUUUUGACGUUACCAACAGAAUAAGCACCGGCUAACUUCGUG